AUCUUACUGGUGAUACCUGGAUAUCUGAGUCUUUCUGAAGAGAUGAGAGCCACAUUUCCUAGCCAUGGAGCUUUUUGCAUAUAGAGCCUUGCUGCAAAUUACACUACCAGUAAUCCACUGGAGGAGCUGAAAAUGGCAAAGUGGCUAUGUGCUGAGGGAAGCUGAGGGCAGGACCCAGCAAGGGAACAGCGUCACAUUCAAGUGUGGUUUUCAAGAGGAAUAUUCCCCCCCUGGGCAUUUGCUACCUGAAGCACUCAAAGAGAUCACAACUGUGUAAAAAAAAUCUGAGCUCCCUUCAGACUCUCUCAGCUUUUACAUCUCUGAAAUGGCUUCUCAUUGGCAAUACUUGAAGUUUAACUAUUGAAGCUCCCAGCACUGUGCCACAUCCAGCUUUGACUGUACUAACAGGGCAUUUCCUAGGCUAUAGGAUGGAGGUUGAAAGUACCCAAAUGCUAAGACCUAUUAGAGUUAAGUGCUGUGGUUUCCACUAUUUGUAUUUCAAGACUAAGAAACAGCUAUUUUAUCUCAAUAGGUUAGAAGAGUACAAGAGCAAAAAAAAGCCUAUCAAAGAAUGAAUUAAAAAAUAUAGAUACUUAUGUUUGUCAUAGGGGGAAAUAGUCCAUUAAAAGGCAAGACCCUCACAUUUUGUGGUUAGUUUCAUUUGCCAGUUUGGCUCCUAUGCAAAUAAAAUAGGAAUUUAUUACAAGAUUUGUAUCAUUUAAUCACUAUAUUUCUUGCAAUUUCUAGUUCUGGAGGUUCUGCAUAGGCUUGAACAAAGCUGCAGAGUUCAGUACUGUGUAUUGACUCCUGUUUCCAGAGUUACCUAGUGGUUUCUAUCUGCCCUCAGAAUCUAAGCUGUUUAUUCCUUGCCAUGAAAACAUCACUUCCCAAAACUGUUUUAUGAAGUCCACAGCAUUUCUAUAGGGUUAUCUUUUUUUUUUUCCGUAACAUCCAGGGGGAGGGGAGGGCCAUAGAUUAUGGUUACACCACACUUGGCAUGUCUUUAUUUCCCUUGCAAUGCUUCUAGUUAUAAAUCUUCCC
rnacentral:lncRNA from 1 species